GGCCUGAUGGUCUAGUGGUAAGAUUGUCGCUUCGGGCAAACAUCCCAGUUCUCCCAGAGAAAAUGUGACAGAUCCCGGGUUCGAUCCCCGGUCAGGCCC